GGAAUAUUGGACAAUGGACCAAAAGUCUGAUCCAGCAAUUCUGUGUGCACGAUGAAGGUUUUCGGAUCGUAAAGUGCUUUCAGUAGGGAAGAAAAAAAUGACGGUACCUACAGAAGAAGCGACGGCUAAAUACGUGCCAGCAGCCGCGGUAAUACGUAUGUCGCAAGCGUUAUCCGGAAUUAUUGGGCGUAAAGCGCGUCUAGGCGGCCUUUUAAGUCUGAUGUGAAAAUGCGGGGCUCAACUCCGUAUUGCGUUGGAAACUGGAAGGCUAGAGUAUCAGAGAGGUGGGCGGAACUACAAGUGUAGAGGUGAAAUUCGUAGAUAUUUGUAGGAAUGCCGAUUGGGAAGCCAGCUCACUGGAUGAAUACUGACGCUGAAGCGCGAAAGCGUGGGGAGCAAACGGGAUUAGAUACCCCGGUAGUCCACGCCGUAAACGAUGAUCACUAAGUGUGGGGGGUCGAACCUCCGUGCUCG
rnacentral:rRNA from 1 species